GUUAUUUUCCUUUUCUCAGAUAAGGAAAGGAAAAAGGAAUUUGUUAAGAGUUUUGUGAUUAUUUGAGAAAGUGCAAUGGGGAUUUAUUGGAGAAGUGAUAUGCGACUAUCUCUGUAUUCGUCGCUCACUCUUGUGAAUGCCGAAACUACCAAUGGCGUAAUCCCAAGCAACCACUCCAAUUCCCUAAUUCCCCCAAUCAUUGCAAUCCCUAAAUAUAAUUUAUUCAUUCUUUGUCAGACUGGCAAUUUAGUAUUGAUUUAUCCAGUGACGCAUCCUCACCACGCACUUCGAGUGCAGAUAGGAUUACUGCAUAGUAUAUUGGAACGUGACAAACAUUGAUCGAUGUAAUCACCCCCCAAUUCGAUUGUUACGUUCACGGCCAAGUUUGGAUCGCGAAUGGGGUCGGCUUCCUAUACGACGUCGUCCAAGUUGCUUUUCCGGCAGCUCUUUGAGAAGGAGUCGUCCACCUACACUUACCUUCUCGCUAAUGCUUCUCACCCGGAUAAACCAGCUCUGGUUCACUUCUAUGACUUGAUUGAUUUUCUCAUGAUUAAGUUUUUAUCUCGCAUUUUGCUUUUGAGUUUUGUGGGUUAAUUAGAUUGUCGCAAUGUGAGUCGAGUCAAUGCGUUUUGGGUUUCUGAGGUUUAAUGAGGUAUAUUUGUAUUAGUUGGUGUUUCUAUUUAUUUUGGUCAAGUUUGAAGCAUUUCUGAAAUUUCAAUAAUUGUCUU